UGCACGGUGGGGCAGUUGGUAGCACUGUUGCCUUGCAGCAAGAAAACAAGCAAAUCCUGGGUUCGACUCCCGGCCGGGGGUUUUUCUGCAU